CAUGAAUGUGCUCAUAAAAGCAUAAUAUAUUUUAAGAAUUUGACCCACAUGUUUAUCCAAGCAGGAUCAUUUGUGGUCCACCGGCCAAAUAAUCUUUUCUCAUAUCAAUGGCCCAUUGAAAAAGUCCAAAAUAAGUAGUUUAUAAGCUGAUUAAAAUCUAAAAAUAACACUGAGUAAUAAAACAGAACUUAACUUUUUUAAAACAUUGCAUAGAAAGGGUAAUAAGAGUUUGGGAUCAGACUGACGUGCAAAAGAUUAUUCAGCAGAGCUGGCGCCUCUGUUAAAUGUUACUGUUUCAAUCUUGUCAUCAUUUCCCAAAACACUGGCACAAAACAACAAAAGCUCACUCUAAUUAUAUAUUACAAUUGAUGAUAAAAAGUAUAAAAAAGAUUAACAGAAAAAAAAAAUCCGAAGGCCUCACUCACGAGUUGCAGAAGCCCGUGCAAAUCAAACCUAAGCUCACCAUUCCCAUUCAGAAAGAUUCCACAUCUUUUAGUCAAGAAAACAACUACAGGAUUAGCUAGGGGUUAGAGCAUAGCAGAACAAGAACGUCAACAACUACGAGGGAACAACAUGAAAAACAGAACGAGAAGGCCCCUUCCCCGCUGCUUAUAUACAAGAACAUCCCAAUUUCAUGUGGUAAUUUUGCUUCGCUUAAACAAGGAUAAAGAAAAGAAAAAGAAAAUAAUUUUUAUGUUUUUGUUUUGAACAAAAACUCACUACAGAAAUCUCAUGAAUAGCACAAAAACAAACUCUUAAAUGCUAAAGAAUGGUAAUGGUGGUGGUACCCUUUUCGCUUACACCCUUCUCUGUUACGUUCGAUCAAUCCGGUUUCUGCUAUUACCGUGUUGCUGCUGCCCCUUGUUGGCCCAUUCUCGUUUUUGGGGAGGAGAAGAAAACAGCUGUCCAAACCCAAAUACGGAGACUGACUUGGAUGUUCCUCUCAGGGAACAAACGGGAACGUUAAUAACCGGAGUCACUCUCACGUUUGCUGAAUAUGAUCUCUCCAUUCCCCUGUGCUUAAAUCUUGAACCGGCAUUAAAGCUACUUGGACUGCUGGAACUCCUCUCCAAGCUCUGGAACACUAUCUUCCCUGAUGAAUUCAUUCUCGGACUGUCCACCGAAACCCCCCUGCUUGUAACCCCACUCGAUUCCCCAGCAGCCCUCCUCAUCGGGCUCCUUCCCACUCUCGUAGCAGAAGUGGAGUUAUUGCUACUGUUGCUAUUGCUAUUGGUCUCUGACCUGGGCUUCACCAUUCUCAUUCUGAGAGGAUUUUGAUUUGGAUUCCUAUUGAGAACAAAUGGGUUUGGAUUUGGAUCUUGGAAGACGUUUAAACUAGGGUUCGGUUUCUCGGAUUCAAGAGAGAGUCUGGGGAGAUCUUCAUGCUCGUGGCUCGAAGACGAAGAAGAAAGCGAUAAUCGCGAUGAUGAAAUGGAAACGGACUCACACUCCGUAUCCUUUAACAACGGCAGACUCAAGGAGUGAUCCAAAGAUGAUGAAUUGCAACUGCAAGAUUUUGAGCUUCUAUGCAGGAAAUGUUUCAACGAUUUUGGGAUAGGGUUAGAAGAAGAUGACGAUGUUGUUUUGUGGGCAUCAGCUUUGGUGUUCGCAUUCUGGUAAAGCUUUUUUAACCCCAAUAGCUCCUUCCAUCGACUCGAACACCUGGGGGCUUUUGGAGAAAACAGGCAAGGGUCAGUACCGGAUAUUUCCAUCUCCAUUCUACGGCAAGACUUGGCAGUCUCGGGUGACCUGAUCUCGCUCAAAGCAUUGGCCGGCUUGAUUGUCGUGAGCGGCACCAGCUUCCCAUCUGAGAAAAGCUCAUCGGCGGGGAGCAUGGUUACGGGAUCUUCGAGACGGAACUCAAAGUCAACAGAAUCAAGAAUCUCCGGCGGAUCUUCAGCUGGAGCGUCGCAUGAGACAGUAUUAGAAGAUCCUGAUUGCUUGGAGGUAUCCUCUUCACGGCUAAAAGAGAUUCGCGGACUCAACCAACCGUAGGACGGGUAAGUUCCCGACGAGAAGUUCUCCGGCGACAUGCUGAUGUUGUUAACGCAAGCCGAGGCCAUGGCCUACGUAAUCAUGCAAUGAAAACAGUAUUCCUAUAACUGAAUGAGACAGAGACGUCGUGGGUUCGCGGAGAGCUGUAGCACAUUAACGGAAAUGCUCAGGUGGAUGAGAUCUAGAGAGAGAAAGAGAGGUUCUUUUGGCGAUUUUGUUGGGGUUUGGAAGUUAAAUGUGCGUAGAGUCCAAGUGGCUUUGUGCGUGUGCGCUCUAG
rnacentral:misc_RNA from 1 species